rnacentral:rRNA from 1 species
AUGGAGACCAUCCGGUGCUGCAUCGCGUGCAUCCUGCCGUGCGGCGCCCUGGACGUGGUGCGCAUCGUGCACUCCAACGGCCGGGUGGAGGAGAUCAGCGAGCCCGUCCUCGCCGGCGAGAUCAUGAAGGCCUACCCCAAGCACGUCCUCCGGAAGCCGCCCUCCACCUGCCCCUCCGACGGCGGCGGCGGCAUCGUCGUGCAGAAGCCCGUCAUCCUGCCGCCCAAUGCCGAGCUGCAGAAGGGCAAGAUCUACUUCCUCAUGCCGGUCAUGGCCCCGGCACCGGACAAGGCCGCCGCCAAGCCCAAGGCGCCCGCGCCCGCGCCAACUGCGGCCGCGCCAGCGGCGAGGAGGCGGCGGAGGAGGAAGGAGUCCGGGGAGGCCGCCGCCGGCAACAACGCUCCAGCGGCGUCCCUGCAGAGCGCGGAGGGCGAGAAGGAGCGGCUGCUGGCGAACGAGAGGUACCUGUCGGAGAUCAUGAAGGAGAAGGCGUCGACGGCCAGGGACCGGCGGCGCGGGCGCGUGGCCGUGUGGCGGCCGCACCUGGAGAGCAUCACCGAGGAUGACUUGUAA